rnacentral:rRNA from 1 species
GACGAACCGUGCGAACGUUAUUCGGAAUCACUGGGCUUAAAAGCGCGUGUAGGCGGGGUGGCACGUCGGUCGCUGAAAGCCCCCGGCUCAACCGGGGAAGGGGCGCCGAUACGACCACCCUGGAGGGACGUAGGGGGACCUGGAACUUCCGGUGGAGCGGUGAAAUGCGUUGAGAUCGGAAGGAACGCCCGUGGCGAAAGCGAGGUCCUGGACGUUUACUGACGCUGAGACGCGAAAGCCAGGGGAGCGAACGGG